UACGGCGGAUCCAAGCGUUAUCCGGAUUUAUUGGGUUUAAAGGGUGCGUAGGUGGCUUAUUAAGUCAGUGGUGAAAGACGGUAGCUUAACUAUCGCAGUGCCUUUGAUACUGAUGAGCUUGAAUGAACUAGAGGUAGGCGGAAUGUGACAAGUAGCGGUGAAAUGCAUAGAUAUGUCACAGAACACCAAUUGCGAAGGCAGCUUACUAUGGUUAGAUUGACACUGAGGCACGAAAGCGUGGGGAUCAAACAGG
rnacentral:rRNA from 1 species